CGGCGGCGUCGCACCUGCUUCCCCGGGAGCUGCCUGCCGCGGGGGGGGAGGGGGUGUGUGUGACGCGGCCCCGCCGGGAAACGGGACCGGGUGAGGCCGGUGGCGCCGCCGGGGGCUGCGAGGGGCCGGGCGGGACCCCGGGCGCGUCCCGUGGGGAGCCCGCGGCGGUGCCCGACACGGCGGGGGCCACCCGGUGUCUGACACUGCUGGCGCCGGGCGCCCCGGGACUGCCUUUCCCCGCUUUCCGGGUGAAGCGGCGCACCGGUUAGGUGGCCCAUGAGGUAUUUACAGCUGCUUCCAGGCUGCCUGUAGCCGGCACCUUGAGUACCCGUGAAAACCCGAGUAUAACAACAGGCAGUUUGCAAACUGCGGCGGUCCGGUGGGUUAAACAGAGCGACUCCCGAUGAAAGCGCAGUCACGCUGGUAAGAAGUAAAGCAGCGUUAAUAUUGGAGAAGCAAGGUCACGCACCUUUUGUAUCGGAACAGCAAGUGCCUUGUGGAAGAUGUAUAAGACGGUAUCACUGCAGAGAGAAUUACUAACCUAGACAGAAUCAUACAGAUAUUUAGAAAGUGGAACAAAAUGAGCAUCAUUGCCUUUCCACACCUAUCAUUUGAAUUUCCCUGGUAUUAGGAGCUUGCACCAGAAUUCUUCCCACCUCCUGGUAGCUAGUCCCAGGCCGCAGGAGGACAUUUCUCAGGAUGCGGGUCUGUGUCGCAAAGGCAAUGUUGAUGCAAGGAGUUCUCAUGCCUCCCACAUACCUCAUUUUCUGCUCGUCUCUCAGUCCCACCCCGACACUGCAGCAUGCAGCCUUGCGAGGCGUUUGUAGCCUGGAUCCUUUCAGCAACCUGCCUUCUCGCAGAGCCCUGCUGAUGGCUCCACAGGUUCUCCUACAGCAAUGUAGCAAGCUGCUGCAUGUCCCUUUUAACUGUGGGUACAGAAGAAUUUACAAUGCAAGCAUUUUAUAA
rnacentral:lncRNA from 1 species